UGCAGGGGCAGAUUUGUCCCCCAGUACAGGUCCAGGCCUGUAUGAAGUUUGCCAGAGAGCAUAUUGAUGAUCCAGAAGAGGAUUGGGAGAAUAUCAUGUGGUCAGAUGAAACCAAAGAGAACUUUUUGGUAAAAACUCAACUCGUCAUGUUUGGAUGAAGAAGAAUGCA